UGCAGGAGGACCCCUGUUCUGCCCUAAUGGUCCAAGUUUUCUCUGAGGAUCUAUGAAAGAUGUACUAUCCCAGAAGUGACACUACUGCAUCUAUAUCCUAAGGAAAUGAUAAAGAAGGGGAAAGGACCCACAUGUGCAAAAAUGUUUACAGCAGCUCUUUUUGUGGUAAAGUACUGAAAAUGAGUAGAUGCAAUCAAUUGGGAAUGGCUGAAUAAGUUAUGUGAUUCAGUGAUUCAAAGCAAUCCUAAUAGACACUGGACAGAAAAUGUCAUCUGUAUCUGGAAAAAGAACUAUGGAGAAUGAAUAUAAAAGCAACACAUGCUAUGUUCACUUCUUUGUUCUGUUUUUUUUUUCUCCCAUGGUGUUUUCAUUUUGUUCUGAUCUUUCUCUC
rnacentral:lncRNA from 1 species